AAUGAAAUGCCUGAUAAAAGGAUUAUCUUGAUAGGAUAAAAUAUGAAGAUCUCUUCUUUCAUUG
rnacentral:tRNA from 1 species